CCCCCCCCCCCAGAUGUUGCUGAACUACAACUCCUAUGAUUCUUUGAAUUACAUAGAUAGCCAGAGAAUCAUGGGAGUUGUAGUUCAGCAACAUCUGGGGGGCCGGAGUUUGAGGACCCCUCCUCUGGAGCAUCUUAACCUGCUAAGCCUGCCAAGAAGAAGCAAGAGGAGGAUGACGGUGAUAUGAGAUAACUAAAAAGCUCAGCUGCAAUGUGAAUUUUUCAAAAGCCCUUGAAGGUUGCCCAGAUGGACAUCUCCCAUCAAAUAUCACCCUUUUAAACUAAACGUCUACCAAAGUUGAGAAUCGUUGAUUUGGAUUAUGAGUAAUUCAUCACCAUGUAUUAGUAAUGUGUAGUUUUAUUCCAUGUGAGCAUUAUCGUUUAAUAAAAUGCCUUUGCCGAUAAA